rnacentral:rRNA from 1 species
UACAUGGGUUGCAAACGUUGCUCGGAAUUAUUGGGCGUAAAGCGCGCGUAGGCGGUUACUCAAGUCGGAUGUGAAAGCCCUCGGCUUAACUGAGGAAGUGCACCCGAAACUGAGUAGCUAGAGUACUAAAGAGGGUCGCGGAAUUCCCGGUGUAGAGGUGAAAUUCGUAGAUAUCGGGAGGAACACCGGUGGCGAAGGCGGCGACCUGGGUAGAUACUGACGCUGAGGCGCGAAAGCGUGGGGAGCAAACAGG